AUGUCUGUCCUUGUCUGUCAAGUCCUUCCCUCUUGGAUUGCCAUGUGCAUCAGCUUCUUGCACUUCUGCAUCUUCUUGUGCAUCUUGAGCUUCUUGCACUUCUGCAUCUUCUUGUGCAUAUUGAGCUUCUUCCUCUUCAGGAAACCAAUUCAAUUCAAUGUCUUCAUCCUCAUCUUCCGGCAUCAAGUUCAAAUCAAUAGCAUCACCCUGCUGAGCUUGUUCUUCUUCUUGAGCUUCGUCCUCAUCUUCCGGCAUCAAAUUCAAAUCCAUAGCGUCACCCUGCUGAGCUUGUUCUUCUUCUUGAGCUUCGUCCUCAUCUUCCGGCAUCAAAUUCAAAUCCAUAGCGUCACCCUGCUGAGCUUGUUCUUCUUCUUGAGCUUCGUCCUCCUCUUCCGGCAUCAAAUUCAAAGCCCGCUGGGAGCUUGA
rnacentral:rRNA from 1 species